GAUGAACGCUGGCGGCGUGCCUAAUACAUGCAAGUCGAGCGAACGGACGAGAAGCUUGCUUCUCUGAUGUUAGCGGCGGACGGGUGAGUAACACGUGGAUAACCUACCUAUAAGACUGGGAUAACUUCGGGAAACCGGAGCUAAUACCGGAUGAUAUUUUGAACCGCAUGGUUCAAAAGUGAAAGACGGUCUUGCUGUCACUUAUAGAUGGAUCCGCGCUGCAUUAGCUAGUUGGUAAGGUAACGGCUUACCAAGGCAACGAAGAAUAGCCGACCUGAGAGGCUGAUCGGCCACACUGGAACGGAGACACGGUCCAUACUCCUACGGGAGGCAGCAGUAGGGAAUCUUCCGCAAUGGGCGAAAGCCUGACGGAACAACGCCGCGUGAGUGAUGAAGGUCUUCGGAUCUUAAAACUCUGUUAUUAGGGAAGAACAUAUGUGUAAGUAACUGUGCACAUCUUGACGGUACCUAAUCAGAAAGCCACGGCUAACUACGUG
rnacentral:rRNA from 1 species